AGAGUUUGAUUAUGGCUCAGGAUGAACGCUGGCGGCGUGCUUAACACAUGCAAGUCGAACGAAGCAGCUUCUGCUUGCAAGAAAGCUGACUUAGUGGCGGACGGGUGAGUAACGCGUGGGUAACCUGCCUCAUACAGGGGGAUAACAGUUGGAAACGACUGCUAAGACCGCAUAACCCGCUAGUGUCGCAUGACACGGACGGAAAAUAUUUAUAGGUAUGAGAUGGGCCCGCGUCUGAUUAGCUAGUUGGUAAGGUAACGGCUUACCAAGGCGACGAUCAGUAGCCGACUUGAGAGAGUGAUCGGCCACAUUGGGACUGAGACACGGCCCAAACUCCUACGGGAGGCAGCAGUGGGGAAUAUUGGACAAUGGGGGAAACCCUGAUCCAAGCGACGCCGCGUGAGUGAAGAAGUAUUUCGGUAUGUAAAGCUCUAUCAGCAGGGAAGAUAAUGACAGUACCUGACUAAGAAGCCCCGGCUAACUACGUGCCAGCAGCGGC
rnacentral:rRNA from 1 species